rnacentral:rRNA from 1 species
CAGCACCUCAAGUGGUCAGGAUGAUUAUUGGGCCUAAAGCAUCCGUAGCCGGCGCUGUAAGUUUUCGGUUAAAUCUGUACGCUCAACGUACAGGCUGCCGGGAAUACUGCAGCGCUAGGGAGUGGGAGAGGCAGACGGUACUCGGUAGGAAGGGGUAAAAUCCUUUGAUCUAUUGAUGACCACCUGUGGCGAAGGCGGUCUACCAGAACACGUCCGACGGUGAGGGAUGAAAGCUGGGGGAGCAGACCGGAUUAGAUACCCGAGUAGUCC